rnacentral:rRNA from 1 species
GACCUCGGAUCAGGUAGGGAUACCCGCUGAACUUAAGCAUAUCAAUAAGCGGAGGAAAAGAAACCAACAGGGAUUGCCUCAGUAACGGCGAGUGGAGCGGCAACAGCUCAAAUUUGAAAUCUGGCCCUUGGGUCCGAGUUGUAAUUUGCAGAGGAUGUUUCGGGCGUGGUCCGGUCUAAGUUCCUUGGAAUAGGACGUCAUAGAGGGUGAGAAUCCCGUAUGCGACUGGGUGCCUAAGCUCAUGUGAAACUCCUUCGACGAGUCGAGUUGUUUGGGAAUGCAGCUCUAAAUGGGUGGUAAAUUUCAUCUAAAGCUAAAUAUUGGCCAGAGACCGAUAGCGCACAAGUAGAGUGAUCGAAAGAUGAAAAGCACUUUGGAAAGAGAGUUAAAUAGCACGUGAAAUUGUUGAAAGGGAAGCGCUUGCAAUCAG